rnacentral:rRNA from 1 species
GACGAACGCUGGCGGCGUGCUUAACACAUGCAAGUCGAACGGAAAGGCCCUGCUUUUGUGGGGUGCUCGAGUGGCGAACGGGUGAGUAACACGUGAGUAACCUGCCCUUGACUUUGGGAUAACUUCAGGAAACUGGGGCUAAUACCGGAUAGGAGCUCCUGCUGCAUGGUGGGGGUUGGAAAGUUUCGGCGGUUGGGGAUGGACUCGCGGCUUAUCAGCUUGUUGGUGGGGUAGUGGCUUACCAAGGCUUUGACGGGUAGCCGGCCUGAGAGGGUGACCGGCCACAUUGGGACUGAGAUACGGCCCGGACUCCUACGGGAGGCAGCAGUGGGGAAUAUUGCAAAAUGGGCGGAAGCCUGAUGCAGCAACGCCGCGUGCGGGAUGACGGCCUUCGGGUUGUAAACCGCUUUCGCCUGUGACGAAGCGUGAGUGACGGUAAUGGGUAGAGAAGCACCGGCUAACUACGUG